CUUUGGGUAAAAAAUUUAUUGCCCCAAGAGGAGCUCGCGUCUGAUUAGCUAGUUGGUGAGGUAAGAGCUCACCAAGGCAGCGAUCAGUAGCUGGUCUGAGAGGACGAUCAGCCACACUGGGACUGAGACACGGCCCAGACUCCUACGGGAGGCAGCAGUGGGGAAUUUUCCGCAAUGGGCGAAAGCCUGACGGAGCAAGACCGCGUGAGGGAGGAAGGCUCUUGGGUUGUAAACCUCUUUUCUCAGGGAAGAAGCUCUGACGGUACCUGAGGAAUCAGCCUCGGCUAACUCCGUGCCAGCAGCCGCGGUAAUACGGAGGAGGCAAGCGUUAUCCGGAAUUAUUGGGCGUAAAGCGUCCGCAGGUGGCGAUUCAAGUCUGCUGUCAAAGCACGGGGCUUAACUCCGUUAAGGCAGUGGAAACUGAUUAGCUAGAGUGCCGUAGGGGUAGAGGGAAUUCCCGGUGUAGCGGUGAAAUGCGUAGAGAUCGGGAAGAACAUCGGUGGCGAAAGCGCUCUACUGGACGGCAACUGACACUCAGGGACGAAAGCUAGGGGAGCGAAUGGGAUUAGAUACCCCAGUAGUCCUAGCUGUAAACCGAUGGAUACUAGGUGUAGCUUGUAUCGACCCGAGCUGUGCCCGAAGCUAACGCGUUAAG
rnacentral:rRNA from 1 species